ACAUUAAGCAUGGAAAAGCAGGUCAAUGGCAUCACGAAGUCGUGCUUCUUCCAAAUAAGGAACAUUGGUCGAAUUCGGCAAUAUAUCACUGAGGAUGCCUGUAAAACUUUAGUCUGCUCGCUCGUCACGUCACGUCUAGACUACGGAAACGCUCUGCUUUAUGGAGUAAAUGCCAGCUUAGUCAAUAAGUUACAGCGAGUACAGAAUACGGCAGCCAGGCUCGUUAUACGUACAAAGAAACAUGAUCAUAUAACACCAGUUCUUGUGUCUCUUCAUUGGAUCCCGGUGCAGUACCGAAUACAAUAUAAACUUCUUUUGUAUACUUUCAAAAUCCUGCAUGGCCUAGCGCCCGUCUAUCUUGAGGAACUCAUUAGCGCCUAUCAACCAUCAAGAUCUCUUAGAUCGGAAAAUGCCAUGCAGCUGAUACAACCUCGUGUACGCACCAAAAUCUAUGGAGAAAGACGUUUCGACAAAGCUACUGCGAGCCUCUGGAACAAUCUUCCUAGCCAUCUAAGACAUGAACACUCAAUCGAACUUUUUAAGAAAAAUUUGAAAACCCAUUAUUUUAGACUCGCUUUCAGUGAUUACAUGUAACUUUUUAUACUGACAAUGGCUUUUUAACUUUGUUCUUUUCGUUGUAGUAUAA
rnacentral:lncRNA from 1 species